rnacentral:rRNA from 1 species
UACGGAGGGUGCGAGCGUUAAUCGGAAUUACUGGGCGUAAAGGGUGCGUAGGUGGUUUAAUAAGUUAUCUGUGAAAGACCCGGGCUCAACCUGGGGGUGUCAGAUAAGACUGUUAAGCUAGAGUAUAGGAGAGGGCAGUGGAAUUUCCGGUGUAGCGGUGAAAUGCGUAGAGAUCGGAAGGAACACCAGUGGCGAAGGCGACUGCCUGGCCUGAUACUGACACUGAGGCACGAAAGCGUGGGUAGCAAAC